UAACAAAAACAUGUCCUUUUGAUUAUAAUUUAAGGUCUAAUCUGCCCACUGAGGAAUUAAAUGGCCGCGGUAUUUUGACCGUGCAAAGGUAGCAUAAUAAUUAGUUUUUUAAUUGGAAGCUGGAAUGAAAGAUUGGAUGAGAAAAUAGCUGUCUCAAAUUAAAUUUUUUAGAAUUUUAUUUUUAAGUUAAAAAGCUUAAAUGUUUUUAAAAGACGAGAAGACCCUAUAGAGUUUAAUAUUUUUAAUUAAUUUAAUUUUUUUGAUUUGAGUAGUUUAAUUAUUUAGAAUUAUUUUGUUGGGGUGACAGAAAAAUUAAAUAAACUUUUUCUUUAUUUUUAUAUUAAUAAAUAGAUUAUUGAUCCAAGUUUCUUGAUUAUAAGAUAAAAUUACCUUAGGGAUAACAGCGUAAUUUUUUUUGAGAGUUCUUAUCGAAAAAAAAGAUUGCGACCUCGAUGUUGGAUUAAAGUUAAAUUUUGGUGUAGAAGCUAAAAGGUUAGGUCUGUUCGACCUUUAAAACUUUACAUGAUCUGAGUUCAGACCGG
rnacentral:rRNA from 1 species